rnacentral:rRNA from 1 species
CACGCAGGUGGCGAGAUAAGUUGGAUGUGAAAUUCCCGUGCUUAACAUGGGGACUGCAUCCAAAACUGUUGAACUGGAGUACUGUAGAGGGAGGUAGAAUUCCACGUGUAGCGGUGAAAUGCGUAGAGAUGUGGAAGAAUACCAGAGGCGAAAGGCGGCCUCCUGGACAGAUACUGACACUGAGGUGCGAAAGCGUGGGUAGCAAACA